rnacentral:lncRNA from 1 species
GCAUGUGGUAUAUAUCUCUUUCUACUGUUAUGAAUCAUACCCUUAUGGUCCCAAAAGAAAAAACUUUCAAAUUUCAAAUUUACAGCCAUUAAUAAAAAAAGCAUAUAGAUACAAAAAUUUAAAUGUCAAUGGUAGAAACCCUAGUAAAUUUGAUAUGAACAUUAUAUAAGCUUUGCAUGUUUUCUGUCUUUGGGCCCCUUCUUCCUAAUAUGACUAUACAAGCUAGUUUUCUUUUACUAUAUAGUUACCCUGAUCUUGAAUAUAUACAUAUAUAGUAGUACUCCAAUAUUACUCCUCCAUUCCAGAUUUAUUACAAUUAAUGUUUUAGUGUUUGUAGUACGGAAUUUAAAAC